GGAAGUCAAGGGUCCCAUUUCGGUGAUGGCAAUUUUGAGGUCUCUGGGAGGUGCCUGCGUGGACAUGAAGACCUAUGAGAAGUUGGCUGCUUUUGAACUUGCAUCUGUGCCCGGCUGCCAUCGGUGCUGCCGUGAACUGAAUGAAUGAGUGUCGCGAACCAGGUGCUGUGCUGCGUGCUGACAGACCUUUUAGGUAGGAGUCCCGAGGAAACGCUGGAGGUGGCCUGUCCCCCCCCCCCCUGCACACGAGGAAGGAAUGCCUCAUGAUCUGGGCACGCGGCCGGCUCCGUCGGUGGACCCUUGCGACUUGAUCUCAAAGGCGUAAAUUCGAGCCCCACUCCAGCUGGGCGUAGAGAUUACUUAAAAAAAAACUCAUAAGCAUGUUCCCGUCUCUUCAUAAUUAAUUUCUUCAUUAAAAACAUACUGAUGAAAGACUGCUGUGUGCGAGGUAUGGGAUAUAGUCACUACUAUCAGGGCGUGGCCGCGAGGGGGACCAGAAUAUGCCACCCCAAAAUGUGCCUCUUUCGGACGUGGGUUCUUUUGAGCUGCC